UACGAAGGGGGCUAGCGUUGUUCGGAAUCACUGGGCGUAAAGCGCACGUAGGCGGAUCUUUAAGUCAGGGGUGAAAUCCCGAGGCUCAACCUCGGAACUGCCUUUGAUACUGGGGAUCUCGAGUCCGGGAGAGGUGAGUGGAACUGCGAGUGUAGAGGUGAAAUUCGUAGAUAUUCGCAAGAACACCAGUGGCGAAGGCGGCUCACUGGCCCGAUACUGACGCUGAGGCACGAAAGCG
rnacentral:rRNA from 1 species